UGCAUUUUGUUGUGUUGUUUUAAAAUAAAAGUUUAUAUUAUUAAUUAUGAGAGCAUAUUUGUUAUUAUUGGUAGCAAUUUGUGUAAUUUGCAUCGGGGAAAUACAAUUUGUCAAUAUGCAAGCUGUUGGAAGAGUGUAUAAAAAUACAAAUUGUAAGGAUUUAUGUAAAAAGACGAAAUGUUAUUCUAAAACAAUUGAUGAGUGUGGUUUUAACGAAGCAUUAAUUGGAGCAGACGGAGAUUGUUACUGUUGUGAUACUUGUAUUGAUUAUCGCAAAGUUAAUGAGCUGGGUGAUUGUAGCUGCGCCUCAUCAAAAUGUAAUUCAAAAAUAACUCCGAAAUAUUGUUUGAAACGGAAGAAGGCGUUUGUUCCCAAAGAUGGCAUCUGUAUGUGUUGUGACACAUGUGUGACACCAAUAAUAUUGUAAAAUCAUUAAAUAUACCUAAAUAUUUAGUGUAUAGUUGCUGAAAUUUGCAAAUAUAUAAAAGAAAUGUGUGAAUAAAAUAAAGGUUUGCUCCUGA